GGCGAACGCUGGCGGCAGGCUUAACACAUGCAAGUCGAGCGGGCGUAGCAAUACGUCAGCGGCAGACGGGUGAGUAACGCGUGGGAACAUACCUUUUGGUUCGGAACAACACAGGGAAACUUGUGCUAAUACCGGAUAAGCCCUUACGGGGAAAGAUUUAUCGCCGAAAGAUUGGCCCGCGUCUGAUUAGCUAGUUGGUGAGGUAAUGGCUCACCAAGGCGACGAUCAGUAGCUGGU
rnacentral:rRNA from 1 species